rnacentral:rRNA from 1 species
CCUACGGGAGGCAGCAGUGAGGAAUAUUGGUCAAUGGCCGAGAGUCUGAACCAGCCAAGUAGCGUGAAGGAUGACUGCCCUAUGGGUUGUAAACUUCUUUUAUCUGGGAAUAAAAUGUUCCACGUGUGGGAUUUUGUAUGUACCCUAUGAAUAAGGAUCGGCUAACUCCGUGCCAGCAGCCGCGGUAAUACGGAGGAUCCGAGCGUUAUCCGGAUUUAUUGGGGUUAAAGGGAGCGUAGGUGGAUUGUUAAGUCAGUUGUGAAAGUUUGCGGCUCAACCGUAACAUUGCAGUUGAAACUGGCAGUCUUGAGGACAGUAGAGGUGGGCGGAAUUCGUGGUGUAGCGGUGAAAUGCUUAGAUAUCACGAAGAACUCCGAUUGCGAAGGCAGUUCACUGGACUGCAACUGACACUGAGGCUCGAAAGUGUGGGUAUCAAACAGGAUUAGAUACCCUAGUAGUC